UAUUAGAGGCAUUGCCUGCCCAGUGACUAAAGUUAAACGGCCGCGGUAUCCUGACCGUGCAAAGGUAGCAUAAUCACUUGUUCCUUAAUUAGGGACUAGAAUGAAUGGCUAAACGAGGGUUCAACUGUCUCUUACUUUCAAUCAGUGAAAUUGACCUUCCAGUGAAGAGGCUGGAAUCUCCCAAUAAGACGAGAAGACCCUAUGGAGCUUUAAUUUACUAGUUCAACUUAUAUAAAAACAACCUAAUGGGCUAAAACAAAAUAAAUAUGAACUAAAAAAUUUCGGUUGGGGUGACCUCGGAGAAUAAAAAAUCCUCCGAAUGAUUUUAACCUAGACUCACAAGUCAAAGUAAUACUAAUAUCUUAUUGACCCAAUUAUUGAUCAACGGACCAAGUUACCCUAGGGAUAACAGCGCAAUCCUAUUUAAGAGUUCAUAUCGACAAUUAGGGUUUACGACCUCGAUGUUGGAUCAGGACAUCCCAAUGGUGCAGAAGCUAUUAAUGGUUCGUUUGUUCAACGAUUAAAGUCCUACGUGAUUGUU
rnacentral:rRNA from 1 species